CCUGGGGCCCAGUGGAGACUCUGGAGACCUAAGUUCAGGCGAGUUCCCCAGCUCCAGAGAAUGCCAAGAAUCACAGUUAUCAGAUCCACAGAACCCUGAACUGGAGACAUACCACUGUGCACCAUGGUAGGGUGCUCAACAGGCAGAUCAGAUCAGCCAGGCACACAAGAGAUUACGGUUCACACAGACGAGAUCAGAGCCACCCAAAACCCCACCAUUGGGACCGCUUGUUCCUGAAGACAGACAGCACCAUGCGAAGUCAGAAAGAAGAGACCCUUCACAAAAAGGUUACUGGAAACUACAUCUCAGAUAACAGCAAAUUGCAAUACAUCUUUGUCUUAACACUAUUCUACUGCAUUCAAGUUGCUUCUGCUUUAUUGACUAUGCCAAAACCUUUGCCUGUGUGGGCCACAAAACCCUGGAAAAUUUUUAAAGAGACGGGAAUAGCAG